rnacentral:rRNA from 1 species
AUACGGAGGACGCGAGCGUUAUCCGGAUUCAUUGGGUUUAAAGGGUGCGCAGGCGGCCGUGCAAGUCAGCGGUGAAAGCCCGGGGCCCAACCCCGGAAGUGCCGUUGAUACUGCAUGGCUUGAAUGCGGUCGAGGCGGGCGGGACGUGGCGGGUAGCGGUGAAAUGGGUAGAUAUGCCACAGAACGCCGAUAGCGGAGGCAGCUGGCCAGGCCUGCAUGGACGCUCGGGCACGAAAGCGUGGGGAGCGAACAGGAUUAGAUCCCCUGGUAGUCCACGCCGUAAACGAUGGGCGCUCGUCGUCGGCGGCAGACAGUCGGCGGCCAAGCGAAAGCGAUAAGCGCCCCACCUGGGGAGUACGGUCGCAAGGUUGAAACUUAAAGGAAUUGGCGGGG